GCGCCCCACAGCCCGGCCCCUGUGUCCCUGGAGGGCGGAGGACACAGAGGGUCCUCCAUCCUUCCCCCAAGUAGUCCUUCGCGGACUGACCCCAGUCCUUCAGGAUCCCUCCUCUGAGUUUCUGAGUCCUGAGGUCCCCUCUCACUCCCCCUCCUGCCUUCCAGCCCUCAGAGGCCCUAACCUGCCGGGUCACUAGGUACGUCCGGAGCUGUCUGCUCCCACUGGCCCCUGCCUGAGGCUGUAGGGUUGGAGUGGAAAGAAUGUGACACCUUGGACAUCUGGGCUCCCUCCUGGCCUCGGGGAGGCCGAGGUCACAUUUUGAACAAGUCUGGGGGCAGAGGUGGAGAAGGUCUGCUUUGCCGUGGCUCCGAACUCACUGUUCCGGGCAGGGCGGACUCCUCGUCCGGAAGACCUGGCGGUGUCUGACGGGCGGCUCUCGUGGCCCGCCUCCCUCGGCCGUGAAGUUGCCUGUGCUCCGGGGCCUGUACUGGGUGGGCCCCCUGAGCCUCCCCCUCCUCUUCUCCAGGUGAAGGCCUGCUGGCCUUCUGAGGCGGGCCAGGCCUCACCCGCUCUGGGGAGAGUGGCUUGUCCCCGGCUGGCCUCGGGCAGCGGCUCUGCGUGUUGUCGCUUCACCCUCGAGGGGGCUGACGGAGGGCUUGCCGGGGCCUUUGGUCCUGUGCAGGUCACUGUUGUCCCCUGUCUGUCCCCAUCCCAACACCGGAAGUGUCCGAGGUGGCCCGCAGUCCCACUAGGCCCUUCAGGCCUGGUAGAAGGUGUGCAGGAGUGUGGCUGGAGAGUCACGACUUCCAGAGCGAGGAGCGUGACCGUAUUUCAGAUCAGCACGGAGCACAGUGGAAUGUUCUUCCAGGCUAAGCAGGGACCUAAUUUCAGCUAGAAAAAAAAAUCGAGUGAACUGCCUGGAAGAUGGUCUCCGAGAAUUCCCGACUUCUGGCAGCCACUUAAAAAGGGGCAGAAAAAAGGGAAGUUCUAAAUAAAGGA